UCAUCAUCAUCAGGAGCACUAUAAAUUCUAUUUCGAAGUACAAACUUCUUCAAUAUUCAUCAUGAAGAAAUUUGCAAUUCGUUUGUGCUUUGCUCUCUUGGUAGUUCUACUGGUUGUCGACGCUGUAAUGGCUUAUAACAAUGAAGCAUCGAGUGACUCGAGUGAAUCAUCAUCAGUUUCAGAAUCAAAAGAAGUUCACGGUCGUAAAAAAAGAAGCGAUCCCGCAAAUCACGAUGGCGGUGACGAUGACAUUGACAGUGACAGUGACAGUGACGACGACUAGGGCGAUGACAUAAAUAAAUCAAAUUCCUGAGUAACAAGUGGAUGAUGAUAAUGUCUUUUUUUUUUGGUACUAAAUGAUAAUUAAAGUUAAUGAGCAAAUAAUUGUUGUUUACUAAUUUUGUCAGAUCUAAUUUCAAACGAUUCUAAUUAAAAACACAAAAUAAAAUUUAUAUUAGAAAUAUGAAACAAUUACCUUACAUGAAUCAGAAUGAAAGAUAAUCAUGUACUGUACAUCAUUAGGUUCUUUGUAUACUGACCAAAACAAAAGGUAAUGAUAUUUGCUACGAAAGGUUCCUCCAAAAUGAUAUUUAACAAACUCGGGCCCCUAUAUAAUGUUGAUUUGUUUACUUCUUUUAUUUAAUAAUAGUCUUAUUUUCUAUAGGGCCUAGGUCCCCAUUACCCUUUGGGCAGCCCCUUUAUUCCAUAGAAUACAAAACAAAACAUUGAAACAUAAUGGUACAGUUCAUAACUGCAUGUUUCAGCGGAUUACAACAAUAAAAAAUUCAGCAACGAGUUGCUUAAUUAACUUUCCAGGCAACAUUUAGUGGCACCCACCCAUCUAUUAUGAU